UGGUCACUCAGGGAUGGUGAUGGUCACUCAGGGAUGGUGAUGGUCACUCAGGGAUGGUGAGUGGUCACUCGGGGAUGGUGAGUGGUCACUCAGGGGUGGUGAGUGGUCACUCAGGGGUGGUGAGUGGUCACUCAGGGAUGGUGAGUGGUCACUCAGGGAUGGUGAGUGGUCACUCAGGGAUAGUGAGUGGUCACUCAGGGGUGGUGAGUGGUCACUCAGGGGUGGUGAGUGGUCACUCAGGGAUGGUGAGUGGUCACUCAGGGAUAGUGAGUGGUCACUCAGGGGUGGUGAGUGGUCACUCAGGGAUGGUGAGUGGUCACUCAGGGAUAGUGAGUGGUCACUCAGGGAUGGUGAGUGGUCACUCAGGGAUGGUGAUGGUCACUCAGGGGUGGUGAGUGGUCACUCAGGGAUGGUGAGUGGUCACUCAGGGGUGGUGAGUGGUCACUCAGGGAUGGUGAGUGGUCACUCAGGGAUGGUCAGGGAUGGUGAGUGGUCACUCAGGGAGGGUGAGUGGUCACUCAGGGGUGGUGAGUGGUCACUCUGGGAUGGUGAGUGGUCACUCAGGGAUGAUGAUGGUCACUCAGGGGCGGUCAGUGGUCACUCAGGGAUGGUGAGUGGUCACUCAGGGAU